UGAAUGACAAUAGGAGAAUGAUGUUUAGCA
rnacentral:piRNA from 1 species